CAUUCUCAAAAAGAACCCUUCUCGGUCUUGCGAUCGGGAAAGGCCUCUUUUUGGACUUUGGAGGUUAUUGCUGGUCCCCCCUUGAUAGCCAGCUCCUCUUAAAUGAAUUAGUAGGGACCACUUUGCCGACCCUAGACGUGAUAAGAUGUUUCUGCGUCUUGGGUAUUCGCUCUGUCCUUUGGAAACCUGCUUCUAACCGUCUUGUCAAAAGACAGCGUUCGAGCCUUUCUCGUUGAUCGGGCAAGGCUUGACUUGACGAACC
rnacentral:misc_RNA from 1 species